rnacentral:rRNA from 1 species
GACGGGGGAUGCAAGCGUUAUCCGGAAUCACUGGGCGUAAAGCGUCUGUAGGUGGUGAUGCAAGUCACUGGUGCAAAACUCUGGCUCAACCGGAGGAAAGCCACUGAAACUGCAUGACUAGAGUGUGGGAGAGGUAGAAGGAAUUCCCUGAGUAGCGGUUAAAUGCGUAGAUACAGAGAAGAACACUGGAGGGGAAAGCGUUCUACUGGAAAACAAAUGACACUGAGAAACGAAAUCUAGGGGAGCGAAUGGG